rnacentral:tRNA from 1 species
GGGGUUGUGGCUUAGCGGUAGAGCGUUCGCCUAGCAUAUGCAAGGCCUUACGUUCAAUCCUUAGUACCACA